rnacentral:rRNA from 1 species
UACGUAGGGCGCAAGCGUUGUCCGGAAUUAUUGGGCGUAAAGAGCUCGUAGGCGGCUUGUCACGUCGGAUGUGAAAGCCCGGGGCUUAACUCCGGGUCUGCAUUCGAUACGGGCUGGCUAGAGUGUGGUAGGGGAGAUCGGAAUUCCUGGUGUAGCGGUGAAAUGCGCAGAUAUCAGGAGGAACACCGGUGGCGAAGGCGGAUCUCUGGGCCAUUACUGACGCUGAGGAGCGAAAGCAUGGGUAGCGAACAGG